rnacentral:lncRNA from 1 species
GGCUAAAAUGAUGGUCUUAAUUUUUGACAAGUCUGAUGUAGAGUAUAACUUGACGACAUUUAAUUGUGAACAUUUUGCAUGUUACUGUGCAACUGGCUUGGCAUACAGUGGACAGACUGAACAUGAGAAUCAUGAUGCAACAAAAUCACUUAAUAAAACGUAAGCUGUUGAUAAUUACACUCAAUCUGUAAGUGUACCAAUACAAUACAAAAAACAGUGUACUCCAUAUAACGUUAUAUUUGAUUUUAAACUCAUUAUGCUGAUGAUCUCGACUAACAUUUGAUUAUAUUGAUCAAAGGUGUACCGAUGUAAUAAAAAGUACUCCUUUUGACAUUCUUACAUAGCAUGCAUAGAUUGACCGUGAAUUCAUUUUAUAUAAUACAUAUUUUGACAUUGCUUGAAACAGUUGAAGGGAAAGACUUUUUUUAAAUAUUUCAGAACAAUGUGCAGUAUCCUACAAGGGUUGAUAAGCAUAUGAGCCUCUGGCCUUUGUUAGUCUUGUAUUAUUUAAAUUUUAGUUUCUUGUGUACAAUUUGGAAACUAGUAUGGCGUUCAUUAUCACUGAACUAGUAUAUAUUUGUUUAGGGCCAGCUGAGGAGCCUCCGGGUGGGUUUUCUACAUUGAGACCUUGGACCGUCUGCUGUUGUGUUUUUUUUUAUUUUGGUCGGGUUGUUGUCUCUUUGACACAUUCCCCAUUUCCAUUCUCAAUUUUAUCUUUAGUAUGCAUGAAAUCAUUAAUGUAUAUAGAACUGAUUUAUCAAAUCUGAUAAUCUAGGAAGCAGCCUACAACUUUAUGUUUAACUUUAACAUGGUUUUGUCGAGAACAAAACUGUUUACGACAAUUAAGCUAUUACCAGUGAAUAUACACUCAUUCUUAUGAAAAGCAUAAUAUGGUCAAUAUUUAUAUUAAAAGAUAUAAAUAAACAGGGUACAACAAAUAUAUUUCUUUUUAAAGAGAAUCUGUCAAAUUUAUUUAUGUUUGUUAUUACAGACUAGGAAUGUAUAUUGAUAUACAAAUAGAAAAGUAUUCUAACAACACACA